ACUCAAAUGAAUAGACGGGGACCCGCACAAGUGGUGGAGCAUGUGGUUUAAUUCGAUGAUACGCGAAGAACCUUACCAAGGCUUGACAUCUUCUGCAAAGACUUAGAGAUAAGUUGGAGGUUAACAGAAAGACAGGUGGUGCAUGGUUGUCGUCAGCUCGUGUCGUGAGAUGUUGGGUUAAGUCCCGCAACGAGCGCAACCCUUGAUACUAGUUGCUAAUAUUAAGUUAAGGACUCUAGUAUGACUGCCUAUGUAAGUAGGAGGAAGGUGGGGAUGACGUCAAAUCAUCAUGCCCCUUAUGUCUUGGGCUACACACGUGCUACAAUGGCUGGUACAAAGAGCAGCGAAGUGGUGACACUAAGCGAAUCCCAAAAAGCCAGUCAAAGUUCGGAUUGAAGUCUGCAACUCGACUUCAUGAAGGAGGAAUCACUAGUAAUCGUGGAUCAGAAUGCCACGGUGAAUACGUUCCCGGGUCUUGUACACACCGCCCGU
rnacentral:rRNA from 1 species